UCUAGGCUGUUCUUUUAAGCUUUUGACCUAUUUUGGAAGCUACUUAGUACUCUCAAAGUACACCAUCGUCCCAUUUAAUUACUCCAGUUUCUUUUUCUUUUUGCAGCAUCUGGCCAUCUGACAAAAUUAACAAAUUAGCUUCUGCUACUAGAAUAAUAAGGUAACGUAAAAAAAAAUAUCAAUUCCUGUUCUAUUCAAUUUCAGCAAAUAGGUCUAUUUUCUAACAAAUCCAGCUCAAGAAUUUAUGAUUUUCUCUCUUUCUUGAGCAUUUUUUGGGUAUUGGGUUUCUUAUAAAUGUAAAGAAAUGUGGGGUGGGUUUAUUUCUUGUGUUCCUCAAAUAUAUUAGCUGGCUUUGUCGUUGUGCCAUCAGCACCACUAUAUGUUUUUCUUCAACAAAUGAAAUAAGGUAUGAGAAAAAUUGUGUCUUUUUAGUACCUAUGUUCAAGUGCCAAAAAAAAAAAAGAUGUCAUCAUCUUCAUCUGGAAAUAAAAUUAGCCCAGCUGUUCUUUUUAUCAUAGUAAUAUUAGCUAUCAUAUUCUUUAUUUCUGGUAUUUUACAUUUGUUAGUUAGGUAUUUAAUGAAACAUAGGUUCUCUUCAGAAUCUACUAGAGACCCUGAAAUGUCUGAUUCUGGUUCCUAUCAAAGGCAAUUACAACAGCUUUUUAAUCUACAUGAUUCAGGUUUAGAUCAGUCCUUUAUUGAUGCACUCCCUGUUUUUUUAUAUAAAGAUAUAAUGGGUUUAAAGGAACCAUUUGACUGUGCUGUUUGUCUUUGUGAAUUCUCAGAACAAGAUUUUUUAUAUAAAGAUAUAAUGGGUUUAAAAGAACCAUUUGAUUGUGCUGUUUGUCUUUGUGAAUUCUCAGAACAAGAUA
rnacentral:lncRNA from 1 species